rnacentral:rRNA from 1 species
AUUGAACGCUGGCGGCAGGCUUAACACAUGCAAGUCGAGCGGAGUGAUGGUGCUUGCACUAUCACUUAGCGGCGGACGGGUGAGUAAUGCUUAGGAAUCUGCCUAUUAGUGGGGGACAACAUCUCGAAAGGGAUGCUAAUACCGCAUACGUCCUACGGGAGAAAGCAGGGGAUCACUUGUGACCUUGCGCUAAUAGAUGAGCCUAAGUCGGAUUAGCUAGUUGGUGGGGUAAAGGCCUACCAAGGCGACGAUCUGUAGCGGGCCUGAGAGGAUGAUCCGCCACACUGGGACUGAGACACGGCCCAGACUCCUACGGGAGGCAGCAGUGGGGAAUAUUGGACAAUGGGGGGAACCCUUAUCCAGCCAUGCCGCGUGUGUGAAGAAGGCCUUAUGGUUGUAAAGCACUUUAAGCGAGGAGGAGGCUCUUUUGGUUAAUACCCAAGAUGAGUGGACGUUACUCGCAGAAUAAGCACCGGCUAACUCUGUGCCAGCCGCCGCAGUAA